UCGUAACAAGGUCUCCGUUGGUGAACCAGCGGAGGGAUCAUUACCGAGUUUACAACUCCCAAACCCCUGUGAACAUACCAAUUGUUGCCUCGGCGGAUCAGCCCGCUCCCGGUAAAACGGGACGGCCCGCCAGAGGACCCCUAAACUCUGUUUCUAUAUGUAACUUCUGAGUAAAACCAUAAAUAAAUCAAGACUUUCAACAACGGAUCUCUUGGUUCUGGCAUCGAUGAAGAACGCAGCAAAAUGCGAUAAGUAAUGUGAAUUGCAGAAUUCAGUGAAUCAUCGAAUCUUUGAACGCACAUUGCGCCCGCCAGUAUUCUGGCGGGCAUGCCUGUUCGAGCGUCAUUUCAACCCUCAAGCCCAGCUUGGUGUUGGGACUCGCGAGUCAAAUCGCGUUCCCCAAAUUGAUUGGCGGUCACGUCGAGCUUCCAUAGCGUAGUAGUAAAACCCUCGUUACUGGUAAUCGUCGCGGCCACGCCGUUAAACCCCAACUUCUGAAUGUUGACCUCGGAUCAGGUAGGAAUACCCGCUGAACUUAAGCAUAUCA
rnacentral:rRNA from 1 species